UGGUCCAAUGGUUAGGACUUGGUACUUCCACUUCUGUGACCCAGGUUCAAUCCCUGG
rnacentral:tRNA from 1 species